rnacentral:rRNA from 1 species
UAGUCAUAUGCUUGUCUCAAAGAUUAAGCCAUGCAUGUCUAAGUAUAAGCUUUUAUACGGUGAAACUGCGAAUGGCUCAUUAAAUCAGUUAUAGUUUAUUUGAUAGUACCUUACUACAUGGAUAACCGUGGUAAUUCUAGAGCUAAUACAUGCGAACAAUCCCGACUUUUCGGAAGGGAUGUAUUUAUUAGAUACAAAACCAAUCGGGUUCGCCCGUUCCUUGGUGAUUCAUAAUAACUGCUCGAAUCGUAUGGCUUUACGCCGACGAUGGUUCAUU